rnacentral:rRNA from 1 species
AGAGUUUGAUCCUGGCUCAGGAUGAACGCUGGCGGCGUGCCUAAUACAUGCAAGUCGAACGCUUCACUUCGGUGAAGAGUGGCGAACGGGUGAGUAAUACAUAAGUAACCUGGCAUCUACAGGGGGAUAACUGAUGGAAACGUCAGCUAAGACCGCAUAGGUGUAGAGAUCGCAUGAACUCUAUAUGAAAAGUGCUACGGGACUGGUAGAUGAUGGACUUAUGGCGCAUUAGCUGGUUGGUAGGGUAACGGCCUACCAAGGCGACGAUGCGUAGCCGACCUGAGAGGGUGACCGGCCACACUGGGACUGAGACACGGCCCAGACUCCUACGGGAGGCAGCAGUAGGGAAUUUUCGGCAAUGGGGGAAACCCUGACCGAGCAACGCCGCGUGAAGGAAGAAGUAAUUCGUUAUGUAAACUUCUGUCAUAGAGGAAGAACGGUGGAUAUAGGGAAUGAUAUCCAAGUGACGGUACUCUAUAAGAAAGCCACGGCUAACUACGUGCCAGCAGCCGCGGUAAUACGUAGGUGGCGAGCGUUAUCCGGAAUUAUUGGGCGUAAAGAGGGAGCAGGCGGCACUAAGGGUCUGUGGUGAAAGAUCGAAGCUUAACUUCGGUAAGCCAUGGAAACCGUAGAGCUAGAGUGUGUGAGAGGAUCGUGGAAUUCCAUGUGUAGCGGUGAAAUGCGUAGAUAUAUGGAGGAACACCAGUGGCGAAGGCGACGAUCUGGCGCAUAACUGACGCUCAGUCCCGAAAGCGUGGGGAGCAAAUAGGAUUAGAUACCCUAGUAGUCCACGCCGUAAACGAUGAGUACUAAGUGUUGGGUGUCAAAGCUCAGUGCUGCAGUUAACGCAAUAAGUACUCCGCCUGAGU